rnacentral:lncRNA from 1 species
CCAUGGUUCCUAGGAUGUGUGACAUCCCGAGGGCGGGAUAUUGCGGUGGGGUUCAUCGCGUCGCAGUGUCCUCCUACACUCGGACAGGGAAACAGAACGCACGCGAAGGAAACCUUUCAGGCGACGAACUAGAUGCGAGCUUGGGGUAGCUGGGCACGUAGUUCACUGUGUUUACGAGGGCCUGCGUAUACCAGUUGGCCUGACAUGUACUGCGUGCUACUUUCGUGACUCCUGCGAAGCCUGCGGUGAUUCUGCAUUGUCGUACCGAAAAGGCUUCCCUU